CCUACGGGAGGCAGCAGUGAGGAAUAUUGGUCAAUGGCCGGAAGGCUGAACCAGCCAAGCCGCGUGAAGGACGAAGGUGCCAAGCAUUGUAAACUUCUUUUAUAAAGGAAUAAAGUGAGGCACGUGUGCCUUUUUGUAUGUACUUUAUGAAUAAGGAUCGGCUAACUCCGUGCCAGCAGCCGCGGUAAUACGGAGGAUCCGAGCGUUAUCCGGAUUUAUUGGGUUUAAAGGGAGCGUAGAUGGGUUGUUAAGUCAGUUGUGAAAGUUUGCGGCUCAACCGUAAAAUUGCAAUUGAUACUGGCAGCCUUGAGUACAGUUGAGGUAGGCGGAAUUCGUGGUGUAGCGGUGAAAUGCUUAGAUAUCACGAAGAACUCCGAUUGCGAAGGCAGCUUACUAAACUGCCACUGACAUUGAUGCUCGAAAGUGUGGGUAUCAAACAGGAUUAGAUACCCGAGUAGUC
rnacentral:rRNA from 1 species